rnacentral:rRNA from 1 species
AAUGAACGCUGGCGGCGCGCCUAAUACAUGCAAGUCGAGCGAGAAGACGUAGCAAUACGUUUGUAAAGCGGCGAACGGGUGAGGAAUACAUGGGUAACCUACCCUAGAGUGGGGAAUAACUAGCCGAAAGGUUAGCUAAUACCGCGUACGCUCCUUGGACUUCGGUUCAGGGAGGAAAGCGAUGCCGAGGGUAUCGCGCUCUUGGAUGGGCUCAUGUCCUAUCAGCUUGUUGGGAGGUAACGGCUCACCAAGGCUUCGACGGGUAGCUGGUCUGAGAGGACGAUCAGCCACACUGGCACUGCGACACGGGCCAGACUCCUACGGGAGGCAGCAGUAAGGAAUAUUGCGCAAUGGGCGGAAGCCUGACGCAGCGACGCCGCGUGAGGGAUGACGG